UCUGGUUGAUCCUGCCAGUAGUCAUAUGCUUGUCUCAAAGAUUAAGCCAUGCAUGUCUAAGUAUAAAUAGUAUACAGUGAAACUGCGAAUGGCUCAUUAAAACAGUUAUAGUUUAUUUGAUAAUUGACAAUUACAUGGAUAACCGUGGUAAUUCUAGAGCUAAUACAUGCUUAAACGCCCGACUUUAUGGAAGGGUGGUAUUUAUUAGACUGAAGCCAAUAUUCCUUGUGUCUAUUGCGGUGAUUCAUAAUAACUGAUCGAAUCUCUUUUUGAGAUAAAUCAUUCAAGUUUCUGCCCUAUCAGCUUUCGAUGGUAGUGUAUUGGACUACCAUGGCAGUAACGGGUAACGAAGAAUUAGGGUUCGAUUUCGGAGAGGGAGCAUGAGAAACGGCUACCACAUCUAAGGAAGGCAGCAGGCGCGUAAAUUACCCAAUCCUGACUCAGGGAGGUAGUGACAAGAAAUAGCAAACCGGGAACCUCAUGGUUUCACGGUAUUGCAAUGAGAACAAUUUAAAACCCUUAGCGAGAAUCAAGCGGAGGACAAGUCUGGUGCCAGCACCCGCGGUAAUUCCAGCUCCACUAGCGUAUAUUAAAGUUGUUGCAGUUAAAAAGCUCGUAGUUGAACCUCUGUCUGGGGCUAGUUUUGGCUUUGGUCAGGCUAGUUCUAGGCAUCCGCCUACAAGACUUAGAGGGCAUUCAGUUGUUCACUAGGAGGAGUAGGCAUUUUACUUUGAAAAAAUUAGAGUGUUUAAGGCAGGCAAUCGCCCGCAUAUAUUAGCAUGGAAUAAUAGAAUAGGACACUUUUCCAUUUCGUUGGUUAUUGGAAUCGUGUAAUGAUUAAUAGGGACAGUUGUGGGCAUUUGUAUUUAAUUGUCAGAGGUGAAAUUCUUGGAUUUAUUAAAGACAAACUAACGCGAAAGCAUUUGCCAAGGAUGUUUUCAUUAAUCAAGAACGAAAGUUAGGGGAUCAAAGACGAUCAGAUACCGUCCUAGUCUUAACUAUAAACUAUUCCGACUCAAUGUUUGACUGGCUUAUAUAACCAGUUGAGCGUUGUAUGAGAAAUCAAAGUCUUUAGGUUCUGGGGGGAGUAUGGUUGCAAAGCUGAAACUUAAAGGAAUUGACGGAAGAGCACAACCAGGAGUGGAUUCUGCGGCUUAAUUUGACUCAACACGGGGAAACUUACCAGGUUAAAACAAUAGUGGGAUUGACAGUUUGAGAGCGCUUUCUUGAUUGGUUGGGUGGUGGUGCAUG
rnacentral:rRNA from 1 species